rnacentral:rRNA from 1 species
GAUGAACGCUGGCGGCAUGCCUAAUACAUGCGAGUCGAGCGAACAGACGAGGAGCUUGCUCCUCUGACGUUAGCGGCGGACGGGUGAGUAACACGUGGAUAACCUACCUAUAAGACUGGGAUAACUUCGGGAAACCGGAGCUAAUACCGGAUAAUAUAUUGAACCGCAUGGUUCAAUAGUGAAAGACGGUUUUGCUGUCACUUAUAGAUGGAUCCGCGCCGCAUUAGCUAGUUGGUAAGGUAACGGCUUACCAAGGCAACGAUGCGUAGCCGACCUGAGAGGGUGAUCGGCCACACUGGAACUGAGACACGGUCCAGACUCCUACGGGAGGCAGCAGUAGGGAAUCUUCCGCAAUGGGCGAAAGCCUGACGGAGCAACGCCGCGUGAGUGAUGAAGGUCUUCGGAUCGUAAAACUCUGUUAUUAGGGAAGAACAAAUGUGUAAGUAACUAUGCACGUCUUGACGGUACCUAAUCAGAAAGCCACGGCUAACUACGUG